GCCACGGUAGAGUCACAUUAAUAGACAGUGGAGGAAACUUUGGACCACCUAAAACAUCUUCUAUAUCUUCACAAGUUUACAGCACACCGGACAACAACGCAAUCGGAGAGAGGCGGAACUACUCUUACAUAGAGGUCUAGAAGCAUCAGAG